UCUUAGAGGAGUUUUACUCAAAUAGACCCAAAAAGUGAUGCUCCAAAGGGAAGGAGCAAUGGGAUCUAGGAGACUUUUAGGGUGGGAAGGAUGUCUGUAGUUUUAUGAAGCUGGGAGCAAUCUAAGAAGAAACAGACGCUCUGAUGAUGUAGGACGAGAGACUCGCGAGCUGCUGAGUGCAUUUGUGAGCGUGAGAGCAAACACGUGCUCAUGUGCGUGAGGGAGUUGUGGCCUUGGGACAAAAGUGUGGUCCGCUUGCCUACCAUGAUGACAAGAAGACGAUGAAGGUGGGGCAGGGAGAAACUGAGAAGGUAUCUGAAAGCCAUUGAACCUCUCCGGAGAACAGCUGCUAUAAAUCAUCGGCUGCUGUUCCAGCAUUAAACUGGCAGUGUUGGGAAAACGUGUCGUUUACAGUGAGGAUGCUUGUAAUCUUCUGGUCACUGUGUGUUGAAUAAUAGAUAGGUGACUAUCCCUUCAGCAAAGAAAAUAAGAGGGAAAUGCAUUUUUCUAGAGUUAUGCAUUUUUCAGAAAAGGACUGAGCCAUCGGCCCCUCAACAUCAGCCUUGCAUAAAAGAAGGCCCGACAGGAUCAAUUACGUUCACUUGUUGACUCAUCCUAUUAAAAUGUCUUCAGGCCUCUAGGAGAAGAUGAGCCCAAAAUGCACCCUCAUCAAAGAGAAAAUUGAUGGAUGAAAAUAGAUCAGCCAGCCAAAUUGGGUCUGAGAGGCAAGACUAGAGAUUGGAAGGACUUAAUCUGAAAAUCACAAAAUACUGAUGCUAAAAAGGAGCUGACUAUAACCAUUCCAAAGGAGAAAAUAAUUACCUAACCUUCUAAGAAAGCUUGCAGAACUACCAUACAACGAUUUUCACUUGAAAUAUUCACAUCCAAGCUUCCUCCAAUUCUUCUGCGGUGAUUCAGCAUCCAAAAUGGUUGUAAGCAGUGACGUCAGUGUUUGCUUAAUGUUCAUUAUGUGCCACGCAUUGUGCUAGCGAUCUUUCCUUAUGCUGUGCCUCUGUCCAGAACAGUGGUUUUAAUCUGGGCGUGAUAUGGCCCCCAGGAGAUACAUGGUGGGAUUUUUGGUUGUCACAACUGGAAUGAGU
ensembl:lncRNA